UACGUAGGUGGCAAGCGUUGUCCGGAUUUACUGGGCGUAAAGAGCGCGCAGGCGGUCGAGUAAGUCGAAUGUGAAAGCCCCCGGCUUAACUGGGGAGGGUCAUUCGAUACUGUUCGACUUGAAGGCAGGAGAGGGCAGCAGAAUUCCCGGUGUAGUGGUGAAAUGCGUAGAUAUCGGGAGGAAUACCAGUGGCGAAGGCAGGUCUCUGGGCAUUAACUGACGCUGAGGAGCGAAAGCAUGGGGAGCGAACAGG
rnacentral:rRNA from 1 species